UACGGAGGGGGUUAGCGUUGUUCGGAAUGACUGGGCGUAAAGCGCGCGUAGGCGGGCUGGAAAGUCAGAGGUGAAAGCCCGGGGCUCAACCCCGGAACUGCCUUUGAGACUUCCAGCCUCGAGUUCGAGAGAGGUGGGUGGAAUUCCGAGUGUAGAGGUGAAAUUCGUAGAUAUUCGGAGGAACACCAGUGGCGAAGGCGGCCCACUGGCUCGACACUGACGCUGAGGCGCGAAAGCGCGGGGAGCAAACAGG
rnacentral:rRNA from 1 species